UACGGGGGGGGCAAGCGUUGUUCGGAUUUAUUGGGCGUAAAGAGCGUGUAGGCGGCCAGGUAGGUCUGGUGUGAAAACUCGAGGCUUAACCUCGAGAUGUCAUCGGAAACCAUUUGGCUAGAGUCCGGAAGAGGAGAGUGGAAUUCCUGGUGUAGCGGUGAAAUGCGCAGAUAUCAGGAAGAACACCAAUGGCGAAAGCAGCUCUCUGGGACGGUACUGACGCUGAGACGCGAAAGCGUGGGGAGCGAACAGG
rnacentral:rRNA from 1 species